rnacentral:misc_RNA from 1 species
GAUGAAGAACGUAGCGAAAUGCGAUACGUAAUGUGAAUUGCAGAAUUCAGUGAAUCAUCGAGUCUUUGAACGCACAUUGCGCCCUCUGGUAUUCCGGAGGGCAUGCCUGUCCGAGCGUCAUUGCUGCCCUCAAGCACGGCUUGUGUGUUGGGCUCCGUCCCCCGAUCCCGGGGGACGGGCCCGAAAGGCAGCGGCGGCACCGCGUCCGGUCCUCGAGCGUAUGGGGCUUUGUCACCCGCUCUGUAGGCCCGGCCGGCGCUUGCCGAUCAACCAAAUUUUUAUCCAGGUUGACCUCGGAUCAGGUAGGGAUACCCGCUGAACUUAAGCAUAUCAAUAGCGGAGGA